CACGAUCCUUCAGAGAGUCGAGGUUGUAGAAGGAAUUAACUGUCGUCGAGGGACAGCGUGUGGGUUUUUGUGAUUUUUCUUGGUUUACUUUAUGUUUUAAGUGUACUUUUGCCAUUUGUUUAGUUUAUUUUAAGACAAUAGUGCAUCUGGAUCUUCUUCAAGAACCGAUCUCAUUUGAGUUUGCCUUCACACAAAAAAAGACUGAAGAGGAUGGGCAGCAGCUAGCAGUAGGGGAUGACACUGAGAGAUGGACAGUGUCAGUCAGUGGGUGACGGGAGGAGGGAGUGAUCUAACAGUCACAGGGAGU